CACGUAGGGGGCGAGCGUUGUCCGGAUUUAUUGGGCGUAAAGAGCUCGUAGGCGGCUCAGUAAGUCGGGUGUGAAAACUCCAGGCUCAACCUGGAGACGCCACCUGAUACUGCUGUGGCUAGAGUCCGGUAGGGGGGCAUGGAAUUCCUGGUGUAGCGGUGAAAUGCGCAGAUAUCAGGAGGAACACCAGUGGCGAAGGCGGUGCUCUGGGCCGGAACUGACGCUGAGGAGCGAAAGCGUGGGGAGCAAACAGG
rnacentral:rRNA from 1 species